GAUGAACGCUGGCGGCGUGCUUAACACAUGCAAGUCGAACGGUGAAGGCGGAGCUUGCUCUGCUGGAUCAGUGGCGAACGGGUGAGUAACACGUGAGCAAUCUGCCCCUGACUCUGGGAUAAGCGCUGGAAACGGCGUCUAAUACUGGAUACGAGCUGCGAAGGCAUCUUCAGCAGCUGGAAAUAACUUCGGUCAGGGAUGAGCUCGCGGCCUAUCAGCUUGUUGGUGAGGUAACGGCUCACCAAGGCGUCGACGGGUAGCCGGCCUGAGAGGGUGACCGGCCACACUGGGACUGAGACACGGCCCAGACUCAUACGGGAGGCAGCAGUGGGGAAUAUUGCACAAUGGGCGAAAGCCUGAUGCAGCAACGCCGCGUGAGGGACGACGGCCUUCGGGUUGUAAACCUCUUUUAGCAGGGAAGAAGCGAAAGUGACGGUACCUGCAGAAAAAGCGCCGGCUAACUACGUG
rnacentral:rRNA from 1 species